CAGGGAGGAGAGACCAUAUUGAAUGUUCCUGCUUCUGACCCAGUCUUAGGUCCUGUCCCUCAUCUUCUUGUACUGUGUAGGCCAGCACACACCAAUCCAUGACCCAUGAGCUACAUUCCCAUCAGACACCUGUCCCUACAGCCCCACCCCCAUCACAAGCCAGGCCCAACUCUGUGAUCUAUCCCUUUCCCUGGUGUUCUGGGGCAGCACAGUAGUGUCUGCUUUCUCUUCACUACCAAAAGCAGAGAGUCUGCACAAUGGCUCUCUGUGCAUCCCCAAGCCCCACUUGACCAACUGGGGCUCACUGUGCCAGGGACACAGCCAGCAGGACAGGCUCAUGUGUUUUAGAUGCUAGACACUGAUUAUCCCUUCCCUCCUGCCACAGUGCUAUCUGGAGCCCCAUCACUGCCAGCCCCCUAAGCCUUCAAUAUAAAUCACUAAUACCAGGCAUUCCUAAGCCCACUCUACAAUAAGGAUUGGUUAGACAUGAAUGUUGGGUGUGGAGAGAUGGCAGACAUUGUCCAGGAAAGCAAGCCAUAGAGGAAGGGCCUUCAGCUCUAGUUCUUGGCUAUAUAGAGCCAAGUAUAGACAAUGUCUGUCUAUGAAAUAACUCACCUAGGGUACCAGUCUCCCCUGUCAGCCCUUAUAAUGCCACGGUCCCCUCAGAAGCCUCUGAUCUGGAGCCUCUAGCCUUUCAGGUUUUUGUCUAGGGAUCACUUUAUCAGGGAGACCUUCCCUACACAUCUAUUUUAAAAUUUCAGGCUACCUCUCUUCAACUCAGUAACCUCAUAGUCUUCCCAGGCAUGGACCACCAUCUACCAGACUAAUUUAUCAUUUGCAUUUGUUUACUUAUGCCCUUGUGGCUAAGUUCCAUGUUGGUGAAGAUUCUGCAUUAUUAUUGUUGUUGUUACUAUUAUUUACAAUACAGCAUUCCCAGCCUCUAGCAACGUCCUGGCACAGAGCAAGAAGUAGGAACCCAGUAAGUAGCAUUCACUGAGUAAGUGUCUAGGCUGCCCUCACAUCUGGACGCCAUUUUAGCCUCUCCUCAGAAAACAUUUCAUUUCAUGCUCUGGAUCCGUCUGUCUCAGCAGUGGCUUGUGGCACCUCAAGCACACUCUUCUGAGUCUGCAUGUGAAAGGGGACCUCUUGGUUCAGUGUCAGCCCCUUCUCAGGUGUCUUCCGCACAAGUCCCAACCAGAUUCUAAGUAUGAGCUUUCUUCUGAGCGUCUCUGGACCACCACCCAAGGCCCAAUCAACCCUUCUCACUGUCUCUGGCCUGUUUUGGCUCUUCUUCUCUGACCCCUGCUCUCCUUGGAAUCUCCCAACACCAGUUCCUUCUCCUUGACCAUCCACUCCCCAACUCCCCCACUCUCAGUUCUCACUGCAACCCCUCCCUUGGCCAAGCCCACUGUCACCCCCUCCAACAGCUUCCCUCAAAGCUCUCUCUUCCUACUGGACCCUUCCUCAGUGCACAAGACCCCUACUGCGCAGCCCUUCUCCUUAACCUGCCCCCAUCUCCUUAUUCUCUAGCCAAGGUGUCUGACCCUGGCCCUCCGUUGCCUCGGUCCUCCCUGCUGCCCAUAUUGAGUGCAGGUGUUACAGCGUGCCUGAGCAAGGCUCCCCCAUCUCUUCAGCCUUGGCCCAGGAUCCUGAGAUGGGGAGCCACAGUCUUCCUUUCUACCAUUUCUAGCUCCUGAGAGUCUAGCACAAUGCUGGGAACAUAUGUAUAAAAUAAAUGAAAACAAGGUUUCUGCCCAUGGGUCUGCCUCACCUCCAUGUUUAACUAACUGCCGGUCUGAUCAGUGCGGCUCCACCUGGGCUGUGAGGAAACGCAUGGUUGCUGGAAUAAAUGAAGAGGAAAAAAUAGGCAGUUCUGUCUCCACCCAGAACCACAGUAAUUUUCCAAAAAUGGAAACCAGAUUGUGUCACUCCCUGGUUGACAAAAUUAAAGGGCUCACCACUGACUUUAGGAUAAGGUCUCAGCUCAGUUUACAGGAUACCUGAGAGGCCACUGCAGCCAACCCCUAGCACCUCUCAGGCUCCCCCACCCCACCCCCCACUUCACACCUUAUACUCAGCCAUGUGAAGUUUGGCAGGUUCUGGAACACAUCACACAAAACCCCAAGUCUUUGUUUACACUGCUCCCUCGGUCUGGAAUCCUCCCCUCUUCUAAGAACCUCUUCUUGUAUUUCAAACCUUUGCUCAGCUGUCAGGACUCCUAAGCAAUCUUCCCUGAACUUUCCUCACCUAAAAAAGAUCAUCCCCUUUCUGUGCUUCACAACACCAGUGUCACAUGCUAUCAGAAUAUAUGAAACUCGGUCUUACUUCGUAUUACAGCACCAUCACUAAGGAUAAUAUGUUGUGUGUUUACCAGAGUAACCAUUGUGUGGGAGGGGAGGAGGGUGAAUGGGACAGACAUUGGGGAACUAGGAACCUGGAAGCGUGGAACUGGCUGAGAACAGAAAGUUUGUACAGCCACCUUAGGCUAGGGUAGGCAAAGGCGACCCGAGGGAAGAUGCUGGAGAAUGAUGAAGAGCCCUGACAGGGAGGACGGGACAGGAGUCCUGGUCAGGGGAGGCUCAGGUCUAUGGAAGGGGGAGAAAGCACUUAAACCAAUGCCCUGUCUUAACAACUAUUCAGUGGCAGCAUCUCGCUGAGACCCCGUGCCUCUGGACAGCUCACGGGACUUCAGGAAUGACGAGUUCUUCUUUGCAGCAAUGGUGGACAGAGCCAUGUUUCUAGGUCAAGCUGGGGCUGACUUUUGUAACACUGGGGAGUGUACCUGGAGAGAACACAUGUUUCGUGACACUGGGUCAGGGAGGAGCCUGGUUGACCAUCAGGGCACCAGGGCAGAAAGCAGUUGAAGUAAGAUGGGGAAAGUCUGCUGUAAGUACUGUCUAGCCUGAGGCAAUGUGGCCACCACCUUCUUACUUUAUGAGAACAAAAAGAUAACCAGCUAUCUAGUUUCUUCAAGAAAAGGCAUGAUCCAACUCCUUUCUCACUGGGGUUAUCCAUACUUGGGGCAUCUCAAAGGAUAAAAAAGGGGCCAGCAUGGCUCAUUAGGGAAGGUAGCUUGCCAAAAAGCCAGAAGACCUGAGUUUGAUCCUCAGGACCCACAUGGUAGGAGAAAAUCAACUCCAUAAACUGUCCUCUAACCUUCAUACGUUCAUUGUGAUGCAUGCACACCUAUACCCACCCCACCCCCCAACACACACAUAACUGUAUGAGUUCUGGCUCAAGGCAUGAGGCUAAGCAGAGCCUUGAGAUGGAGACUAAAAGGAGGGGUCAUAAAGCUGACAUCAUACCAUAGGUGAGUGAGCUGAGUCCUGUCCAAAGCCAGGGGUCUUCCAACUUGAUAUUCUAGAGAUGCCAGGCAUUGAGCUAGGCAUGGGUGAGGGCAUUAACAAUAGAAAAUGGUUCCUCCCCUGGAGGAAGUCAAACUCUAGGGAGUCACAACACAACUCCUUACUGUAGUGGACACAAACCUCUAGAAUGAUUCCUGGCACCUACAUACACUUUCUUCUUUUUUAUAUUAUAUUUAUUUGUGUAUUUUGUGUGUGGGCACACCUUCACCACAGCACAUGUGCAGAGGUCUAAGGACAACUCUCAGGAGUCUGUUUUAUCCCUCCACCAUGUGAGGCCUGAAGAUUGAACUCAGGCCAGCAGGUUUGGUGGCAAGCGCCUUUCAUCUGCUGAGGCCAUCUCACUGGCCCACAAAUAAGCAUUUUUUAUUGGUGGAACAAGUAACUGGUACGGUGAUGGAGAAAGAACAGGAUACCACCAGAGUCUGGUGCUAUUGCAUCUCUAAGAAUAAAGCCUGCCUGAGCAUCAGUCAGAAUUCUCUUGGACCAUCCAUUGGCUCUCCCGUUCUCUCAACCUCCUCUCCGAAGUCACAGAAGAAAGGGAACAUCCUCAAACAUCCAAACUGGAUGAAUCUGUUCUCCUUUCUCUUUUUGUCUAAAACCAAGUGCUGAGCCUACUACUUAGAUCCUCUCAACAUAAGAAUUUCCAAGAAGUAUUUCUUGGCCUGACCUUCCCCUAAGCGCCUCAGUGCCCUCUUUUCUCCCCACAUUCACUAUUGCCAUUUCCCCUCUUCCCUGUUGGCUUUUCUAACCCUGCUUCCCCCCUCAGCAAGACUUGGUAACAACACCUACUAAGGUCAGCACAGCCCCAUGGCAUUUCGCCCAGUGGAUGCCUAGUCACCAUGUGUACUCUCAGCAGAAUUUGACCCCAUGAGCCCCUCACCUAGUGCUCAUUCAUAGCUCCCAUGCUCUACAUUCCUGGAUUUCUUUCCACCCACCUGGCUACUGUUUCUUGGCCUGUUAGACUUUCUUGCUGGCUCAACUUCCUCUCAGUCAUUACAGGCUGAGUUUCUCACAGCUUUUAUUAUGUCCCUUUCUCUUCCUUGUCCUAUAUUCAAUAGAAGUAUUCAUUCAUGUCCACAGAUUCAGUUACCAUCUAUACAAUGAGGAUUUCCAAAUUUCAAGCUCCCUCAUCUGAACUCCAGACAUGUACAUUCAACUCUCUACCCAACAACUCCAUCUACCUAUCCCAAAGGCCUCUCAAACAUGAUACAUCCAUUCAUGGUUCUCAUUCCUAUCCUCCUAUCUCUUUCUCUUUCAGGGGCCAUGGGAUGGAAUGACCGCCUAUUCUAUUGUCCAGUGUUGUACAAUUCUAAAUACAUGUUUCACUCUUGCUGCUUAAAGUAAAUUCAUUCCCAGACAAUAAUCACAUUCUGAGAAAAAAUUCUGGAUGUAUCUAUUCUAUACCUCCACUAUCAUUCAUAAUCUGCACCAAAGCCAAUGACCUUAUGGUCAAAAUCCUAAGCAUUGUCUAAAUUGUCCUGUUAGCUUGCCCAUGGCCUUCCUCCUCUCUGGCCCCAACUCUUAUCAUUGACCUCCCCAACCUAAGCAGCUUUCUUUGACUCCUGGAAGGCAUUGUGAUUAUGGUCUUUGUUCUACAUGAUACCCCUUCAACCCAUUUCCAGAACUUCAUUAUCCCAACCCUCCCUUUACAUCCUAGUUGAAACUACACUUUCCUCAGAGAACUCUUCCCUUGACCCCUCCUCUCUUAUCCCCUCACCCAGUCUAGCUUCUGUUCUGCAGGCCUGUCAAAGCACCAUGCAUCUCCCUUCAUGAUGUCUAUUCCCUUUACAAUGUCCUUCUUAUUUGACUUCCUUCAUAGACCAUCCAUUCUCUAUGGACAAGAACCCAGUCUAUUUUGUUCCUUGAUUACAUCUUUAGUGCCUAAUGCAGUGCCUUGUAAAAAUCAGGUGCUCAAGUCCUAUUUGUUGAAUGAAUAUAUGAUCAGAUGCAUUUUUAAAAUGACCAUUAUAAAUGCUAUGCUGAUAAUAGCUAAGAGGGGGAAGGCAACUGGGUGCUAUUAGAGCAGUGGGGAGUCUAGAUUAAGUUUGACAACAACUGGAAUCAAGGGAGAUUAACAGACCUGAGAAUUAUUGAAGUAGUGGGUAAGACAGAACUUGCUGAAAUUAGAUGUCCAGGAGUGAGGGAGAAUGUUGCUCAGAAUCCCACCCAGUGUGAGCGUAACCUGAACUGAAUAGACAGCUGCCAUUCUGGGGGGUUAAAGGAACAGUAGAUAUGGAAAUGAGGUACAAGGUGAGGAAGAGACAUUAAUUAAUUCACCUUGGAAUCUAUAGGCUUGGAAUCCUUAUUGGAUAUUCAAAGGGGUGCCAGGGGACAGUUGGGUAUAUAUGAGUGUGAAUUUCAUCAGAGUGGUCUGGCCCAGACAAAUUUGCGACUUGGCAGAGUAUGUGUUAAAUUUAAAGAGUUGGAAAUAGAGGAAAUGGUAGGGGAGAAAGGACAGAGUGAAAGAACGCAGCUCAAGCCAGAACCCAGGGCCACAUAUGCAGAGGAGAGGAAGAGAACACAGGAGACUGAGAAGCAGCAGACAGUGCCUAAGAGAGAAACCUGGAAAACGCUUCAAGGAGACUGAACUGACACAAACCGGCUGAACACUACUCCAAGGGAACAGGCUCACAGCAAUGUAUCCAUUCGAGUUACGGGGAGGGCUCCGGUGACCUUGCCUGGAAGCUCCGGUGGAUGUCAGAGACAGAAUGGCGUGGAUUUUAAAAUGAAUGGCCUCUCUCGGGCUGAGAUGAGAACCCCGCCGGCCCCAGGGCACACCCCUCGGUCGCUGAGGACAACAGAAUGCAGCUUGACAGAUCCCAGGCCUAGGACUCCAGGCUGGAAUCGCGCGGCCUGGCUCCUACCCUGCUCCAAGUCCCCUUCCUAGCACUAGACCUCCCCUCCCCCACUCUUCCACCGCCCCUCGCUUUGCCCCCCCCCCAUCUUGGUCCCCCCAUUUCAAGGCAUCCUGGAGGAUCAAGAAGCAAAGCUAAGCGGAGGGGGUCGGCAUGCCAAGAGAUUGAAAACAGGAACUUGUAGCUUCCAUCCGGCAUCACAGCUGGUGCUUUGCUCAGAAUGGAGGGAAGGAAGAUUCCACUGAUACUGAACCCCUGCCUCAGUGUACGGACUGAGGCAGCUCUGCUCAUAAUCAGAGCCAGAUGUGUAGGCCUGGUGAGAACACUGCCCUACAGCUUCCAGGAAAUCUGUGUCCAUCCACCUGCCCAUCAGGUCUCAACUAACAGCAAUGGGAAGGACCAAAGAGGUAAGUAUAACCAAGGCUUCUGUGUAGUCCAAGUAGUACACCCUUAGCCUCUACAAAGAUUUCAAAAUGUUCAUACUGCCUCCUAUCUGAGGCCCAGGAAUUAUGCUAUAUUGGAUAAUAUCUUAUUUAUCUCUCCCAUAACCUCUUUUUUUUGUUUUUACCAAGACAGGGUUUCUCUGUUCAGUUUUUGGAGUCUAUCCUGGAACUCACUCCGUAGACCAGGCUGGCCUCAAACUCACAGAGAUCUGCCUGCCUCGGCUUCCUGAGUGCUGGGAUUAAAGGUGUGCCCCCACUACUGCCUGGCUUCUCCCAUAACCUCUUAUGACCAACAUUCUCAGAUCCACUAUUCCUCAAAUCUUGUGUACCUUCUCUUCCAGUCAUCAUGCUAAGUGCAAGGAGCACAAAAUGAAGAAGACAGUGUAAUUGACUGAAGAGAAUGACAGCUACAGAUCCAACUCUGCUCUUCAGUCAACAAUGGGACCUAUUUCUCUGUGCUUCAGUCUCUAGAAGAGAAAGAAAGUGUAGUCCCUACCUCCCAGGUCACUGAAUACUGCUUUAAUUAUCUCUGGGAUUAGUAGACCUACCAUGAGAGACUAGAGCUCUGGAAUGCAAUGUGAAAACCUCAAUUCCAUUGUGAGGAAAGGGCAGCAAACCUUGGAACACAGAGUUGGGAAGAGUUAGGGGUUCAGGGCUUUAGGAAUGACUUCCACCACUGACCAUGGAAUCUCUUACAUCCAGGCUCCACCUGAAGAAGCCUUAAGGAUUGCUCUCACAUGACUAAAACUGCUCUCCUUGCAGCCUUGGCUGUAUACUGGAUAAGAAAGAGUCAACCUUUCCUAUUUUGUAGCUCCAGAAAGGAGGGGCAGGGAACCCCCUGUAUUUACAGGGCAUGCAGAGAUACAGGGCCUGGGAAUGAGGAACUAGCAAGUGGCUCAGGGCCCCAGGGAUUCACUCUUUUUUUUUUUUUUUUUUAAGUUUUCCGAGACAGGGUUUCUCUGUGUAGCCCUGGCUGUCCUGGAACUCGAACUCGCUCUGUAGACCAGGCUGGCCUCAGACUCACAGAGAUCCACCUGCCUCUGCCUCCGAAGUGCUGGGAUUAAAGGUGUGCACCACCACUUCAGGGAUUCACUCUUGCUCCCUCUCUUUUUUUUUUUUUUUUUUUUUUUUGGUUUUUCGAGACAGGGUUUCUCUGUGUAGCUUUGCGCCUGUCCUGGAACUCACUUGGUAGCCCAAGCUGGCCUCGAACUCACAGAGAUCCGCCUGGCUCUGCCUCCCGAGUGCUGGGAUUAAAGGCGUGCGCCACCACCGCCCGGCGCUCUCCUCUCUUGAAGUGUAAAAAAAAAAAAAAAAAGCAAACCCUGAACUGGACUCCAGGGUUAUAAAGAAAGAUGAGACCAUGGAGGUGAAAGGAGGGCAUGUUCAGGGACUCUAGGGGAGUAGGAGGUGGAGAUGAUCAAGAUACAUUGUAUAUAUGUGUGAAAUUGACAAAGAAUAAGUAAAAAUACUCUUUAGGGCCUGGAGAGAUGACUUAGCAGUUAAGAGUUCCCUUUGUUCUUGCAGAGGACCUAGGUUUGGUUCCCAGCACCUACAUGAUAGCAAACAACCAUCUCUAACUCCAGAUCCUGGGGAUCUAACACUCUCUUCUGGCCUCCACAGAUACUGCAAUCAUAUAGUAUAAGACAGACACAUAAACACAAUGCCCCUAUUAAUACAAUUAAAUGAUUAUUUAAAACAAAACAAUUAAAAAUAUUCUUUAAAAAUUUCA